CCAGUAUACACAAAGAUUCGCUGUCGUCAUGAACAGACUUACUCUUCUGGGGUUAAUGGUCACAUUGUGUGCAGUGACAUGCACGAGCCAGUUGGUUACCUUGGAGAUGGCCUGUGAAAUGGAAUGUCUGAAGACUAAGACAGAGCAUGCAUAUGUCACGUGGGACAGCCCAGAAGCCACUGAAUGUCGCCGAGAGUGUCAGGAAAAUCCAUUCGGAAAGUACCUUCAGAAACCAGAUGACCAUGGCCAGUGAAGCUCAAGUGAAAAGUACAGCUGCUGUGCGGGGCAUCUAUAUCAUGUAUAAGUCAAAGCUGUGCUUAAUGCAUUAAAAUUAGAAAGACC